rnacentral:rRNA from 1 species
UACGUAGGGACCGAGCGUUGUCCGGAAUCAUUGGGCGUAAAGAGCGUGUAGGCGGCUAUUUAAGUCCUGCGUGAAAUCCUGCGGCUCAACCGCAGACGGUCGUGGGAAACUGGAUGGCUAGAGUGCGGGAGAGGAGAGUGGAAUUCCCGGUGUAGCGGUGAAAUGCGCAGAUAUCGGGAAGAACACCCGUGGCGAAGGCGGCUCUCUGGAACGCAACUGACGCUGAGACGCGAAAGCGUGGGGAGCAAACAGGAUUAGAA